rnacentral:rRNA from 1 species
UACAGAGGGUGCAAGCGUUAAUCGGAAUUACUGGGCGUAAAGGGCGCGUAGGCGGUGAGAUGUGUGUGAUGUGAAAGCCCUGGGCUUAACCUAGGAAGUGCAUCGCAAACUAUCUGACUGGAGUAUAUGAGAGGGUGGCGGAAUUUCCGGUGUAGCGGUGAAAUGCGUAGAGAUCGGAAGGAACGUCAAUGGCGAAGGCAGCCACCUGGCAUAAUACUGACGCUGAGGCGCGAAAAGCGUGGGGAGCGAACAGG